rnacentral:rRNA from 1 species
CCUACGGGGUGCUGCAGUGAGGAAUAUUGGUCAAUGGACGGAAGGCUGAACCAGCCAAGCCGCGUGAAGGAUGACGGUGCCAUGCAUUGUAAACUUCUUUUGUCAAGGGAUAAAACCAGGCUCGUGUGCCUGUUUGCGGGUACUUUAUGAAUAAGGAUCGGCUAACUCCGUGCCAGCAGCCGCGGUAAUACGGAGGAUGCGAGCGUUAUCCGGAUUUAUUGGGUUUAAAGGGUGCGUAGGCGGACGCUAAAGUCAGCGGUAAAAGCGCGGGGCUCAACCCCGGCGAGCCGUUGAAACUGGUUGUCUUGAGAGGUCGAAGGGUAGGCGGAAUGCGCGGUGUAGCGGUGAAAUGCUUAGAUAUUGCGCAGAACUCCGAUUGCGAAGGCAGCAUACCGGCGGCGAUCUGACGCUGAGGCACGAAAGCGUGGGUAUCGAACAGGAUUAGAUACCCUUGUAGUC